rnacentral:rRNA from 1 species
GAUGAACGCUGGCGGCGUGCCUAAUACAUGCAAGUCGAGCGAACAGACGAGGAGCUUGCUCCUCUGACGUUAGCGGCGGACGGGUGAGUAAAACGUGGAUAACCUACCUAUAAGACUGGGAUAACUUCGGGAAACCGGAGCUAAUACCGGAUAAUAUUUUGAACCGCAUGGUUCAAUAGUGAAAGACGGUUUUGCUGUCACUUAUAGAUGGAUCCGCGCCGCAUUAGCUAGUUGGUAAGGUAACGGCUUACCAAGGCAACGAUGCGUAGCCGACCUGAGAGGGUGAUCGGCCACACUGGAACUGAGACACGGUCCAGACUCCUACGGGAGGCAGCAGUAGGGAAUCUUCCGCAAUGGGCGAAAGCCUGACGGAGCAACGCCGCGUGAGUGAUGAAGGUCUUCGGAUCGUAAAACUCUGUUAUUAGGGAAGAACAAAUGUGUAAGUAACUAUGCACAUCUUGACGGUACCUAAUCAGAAAGCCACGGCUAACUACGUG